rnacentral:rRNA from 1 species
GACGAACGCUGGCGGCGUGCCUAAUACAUGCAAGUAGAACGCUGAAGGAGGAGCUUGCUUCUCUGGAUGAGUUGCGCACGGGUGAGAAACGCGUAGGUAACCUGCCUGGUAGCGGGGGAAAACUAGUGGAAACGAUAGCUAAUACCGCAUAAGAGUAGAUGUUGCAUGACAUUGGCUGAAAAGGUUCAAUUGCAUCACUACCAGAUGGCGCUGCGUUGUCUUAGCGAGUGGGUGGGGUAACGGCUCACCAAGGCGACGAUACAUAGCCGACCUGCGAGCGGGAGCGGCCACCCGGGCACUGUGACACGGCCCAGCCGCCCACGGGAGGCCGCAGUAGGGAAGCUUCGGCUAUUGACCGAAGUGUGACCGAGUAACGCCGCGUGAGUGCAGGAGGUUUUCGGGUCUUCAAGCUCUGUUGUUAUUGAAGAAAGGGUGGGAGCGUAGAAUUUGCACGCUGUGACGGUAGCUUAUCAGAAAGCGCCGGCUAACUACGUG